UACGUAGGGGGCGAGCGUUACCCGGAUUUACUGGGCGUAAAGCGCGUGUAGGCGGCUGGUCAAGCGUGGCGUGAAAUCUCCGGGCUCAACCCGGAAACUGCAUUGCGAACUGACCUAGCUGGAGUGCAGGAGAGGGCAGCGGAAUUCCCGGUGUAGCGGUGAAAUGCGUAGAGAUGUGGAGGAACACCAGUGGCGAAGGCGACUCUUUGGCCUGUAACUGACACUGAGGCGCGAAAGCGUGGGGAGCAAACAGG
rnacentral:rRNA from 1 species